rnacentral:rRNA from 1 species
UGGGGAAUUUUGGACAAUUGGGCGAAAGCCUGAUCCAGCAAUGCCGCGUGUGUGAAGAAGGCCUUCGGGUUGUAAAGCACUUUUGUCCGGAAAGAAAUCCUUGGCUCUAAUACAGUCGGGGGAUGACGGUACCGGAAGAAUAAGCACCGGCUAACUACGUGCCAGCAGCCGCGGUAAUACGUAGGGUGCAAGCGUUAAUCGGAAUUACUGGGCGUAAAGCGUGCGCAGGCGGUUUUGCUAAGACCGAUGUGAAAUCCCCGGGCUCAACCUGGGAACUGCAUUGGUGACUGGCAGGCUAGAGUAUGGCAGAGGGGGGUAGAAUUCCACGUGUAGCAGUGAAAUGCGUAGAGAUGUGGAGGAAUACCGAUGGCG